GACAGAGGGUGCAAACGUUGCUCGGAAUUACUGGGCGUAAAGCGCGUGUAGGCGGUGCCGCACGUCCGGCGUGAAAGCCCGGGGCUCAACCCCGGAAGCGCGCAGGAAACGACGGCGCUGGAGUCCUGAAGAGGAGGGCGGAAUUCCCGGUGUAGAGGUGAAAUUCGUAGAUAUCGGGAGGAACACCAGUGGCGAAGGCGGCUCUCUGGACAGGAACUGACGCUGAGACGCGAAAGCGUGGGUAGCAAACAGG
rnacentral:rRNA from 1 species